rnacentral:rRNA from 1 species
UACGUAGGUGGCAAGCGUUAUCCGGAUUUACUGGGUGUAAAGGGCGUGUAGGCGGGACUGCAAGUCAGAUGUGAAAACCACGGGCUCAACCUGUGGCCUGCAUUUGAAACUGUAGUUCUUGAGUACUGGAGAGGCAGACGGAAUUCCUAGUGUAGCGGUGAAAUGCGUAGAUAUUAGGAGGAGCACCAGUGGCGAAGGCGGUCUGCUGGACAGCAACUGACGCUGAGGCGCGAAAGCGUGGGGAGCAAACAGG